AUAUCUCUCUGUACGGGAAGGAUGAGAAGCUUCGACCAAGGUUCGAUUCGAGCGCAGCGAGAAAGCGUUGCCGCAGGCAACGACCCGAAGGGCGAAGCGCGCAGCGCUGAGUCAUCCUCCCCCCACCACCA
rnacentral:sRNA from 2 species